rnacentral:misc_RNA from 1 species
GAUGAAGAACGUAGCGAAAUGCGAUACUUGGUGUGAAUUGCAGAAUCCCGUGAACCAUCGAGUCUUUGAACGCAAGUUGCGCCCGAAGCCAUCAGGUUGAGGGCACGUCUGCCUGGGCGUCACAUAUCGUUGCCCAAUGCCUAUUGCAGUGCAAUAGGAAUUUCUAGGGCGAAUGAUGGCUUCCCGUGAGCGUUGUUGCCUCGCGGUUGGUUGAAAAUUGAGUCCUUGGUAGGGUGUGCCAUGAUAGAUGGUGGUCGAGUUUGCACGAGACCGAUCAUGUGUGCGCUCCCCAAAAUAUGGACUCUUUGACCCCACACGCGUCUUUUGACGCUCAUGACGAGACCUCAGGUCAGGCGGGGCUACCCGCUGAGUUUAAGCAUAUCAAUAAGCGGAGGA